CCUUCUAUUACAGUACAGAAUAAUUAAAAAUGAGUCGUAUAUGAUUUAUUUUACUGUUAUUUUUAAUCAGGGCUUUAAUAAGGAAGAACCUAAAUUAGAUUGUUUUUAUAACAAUAGAAAGAGCAAUGAAAUAUUCUCUCUACAUCUCUCUUCUCUCCUCCCCCAUGCCCAGAGAAUUGCAGAUGAGAGGAUAUUCAGAUAACCAUUGAUUGAAUGACCUUGCUAUUCUAUAGAAUGUCAAAAUAGAUGCCUACAUUGUAUUGAGAAAGAAGCAAAAAUAUUUCUGAGCACCUGCUAUCCUAUUCCUAUCAAAGGGCGUGUGGAGGAGGAAGAAAGGUGAUAUGCAAUAAAAUCUAGAGUUUAGUAUUUAGUUUUCAAUUUAAUUCGUUAAAUACUGGGUAUAGACUCCAUGGAAAAGACAGUAGCAAAGGUUUCGGGAAUGAAGUCAUUGGAAAUUGACUCUGCAUUGAGAAAACUUACAUUUACUGUAAAUUAGGCCAGAAGUAUAUAAUGAAUUAUGACAAAAGUCAAAGUUUCUUAUAUAGAGAAAGAGUACACACAAAUGACUGG
rnacentral:lncRNA from 1 species